rnacentral:rRNA from 1 species
AGGUGCUGCACGGCUGUCGUCAGCUCGUGUCGUGAGAUGUUGGGUUAAGUCCCGCAACGAGCGCAACCCUCGUCCUUAGUUGCCAGCAGGUUAAGCUGGGCACUUUAAGGAGACUGCCUUCGCAAGGAGGAGGAAGGUGAGGACGACGUCAAGUCAUCAUGGCCCUUAUGGCUAGGGCUACACACGUGCUACAAUGGGGCGUACAGAGAGUUGCGAUACCGCGAGGUGGAGCCAGUCUCAUAAAGCGUCUCUCAGUUCGGAUUGAAGUCUGCAACUCGACUUCAUGAAGCUGGAAUCACUAGUAAUCGUAGAUCAGCAAUGCUACGGUGAAUACGUUCCCGGGUCUUGUACUCACCGCCCGUCACACCAUGGGAGUUGAUUUCACCCGAAAUUGGGAAGCUAACCUUCGGGAGGCUACCACUUACGGUGGAAUUAGCGACUGGGGUGAAGUCGUAACAAGGUA